UGGAGGCUUCGUGGUGCGACAGAGACAGGCGACCAUCAAAGCGCAAGCCGAUGAAGAUGACGGCACACAGGCGUCAGGAGAAUCGCCCAGCAACAAACGUAAACCUCGACGCAAGCCUCGCUCUAAGCUGAUGGAACAGUUCCCCUCUUACAUGCAAGAAGCAUUCUUUGGCAAGGAUCUACUCGAGCCCGUUAAGCCCGCCGUCAGUUCUACUGGCAAUCCAUCCGAGAGUCCGGGCGGGUCUGUGCGCGGCGGCACGCCGGAGGGCUACCGCGAGCUGCGCG